AUUGAACGCUGGCGGCAUGCCUUACACAUGCAAGUCGAGCGGCAGCGCGGGGCAACCUGGCGGCGAGCGGCGAACGGGUGAGUAAUACAUCGGAACGUGCCCAGACGUGGGGGAUAACUACUCGAAAGAGUGGCUAAUACCGCAUACGAUCUACGGAUGAAAGCGGGGGAUCGCAAGACCUCGCGCGUCUGGAGCGGCUGAUGGCAGAUUAGGUAGUUGGUGGGAUAAAAGCCUACCAAGCCAACGAUCUGUAGCUGGUCUGAGAGGAUGAUCAGCCACACUGGGACUGAGACACGGCCCAGACUCCUACGGGAGGCAGCAGUGGGGAAUUUUGGACAAUGGGCGAAAGCCUGAUCCAGCCAUUCCGCGUGCAGGAUGAAGGCCCUCGGGUUAGUAAAC
rnacentral:rRNA from 1 species